AAAAACACUAAUGUAAUGUUACGUCUGGUGUCAAUAAUUGAAAUAAAACAUAAAGACAAUAAUAACAGCUCAAUUCUGCAGCGACAGCAGCCGUUGACCUGCCUGACUUAACCUGAACAAAAGCACAGAAAAAAAUCCAUGGUGGUGCAGCUGUCAUUCCCAACCUGAGGGAGUCGAGGGCUGAACCAGUGAGAUGGGAGAGAAAGAGAAAGGGAGAGAAAAUGAGCUGCUGUAAGUACUGAAAAAAGCACUAAAGUUUCAGAAUGUGUUUUUUUUUUUUGGAAGUACUCAGAUGUGGUCACUGAAAAGACACGAGAGCGGCGGGCCUGAGUGGCUGACAUUUAGGAAAAGGAAUCUGUGGCUCAGCAGUUACCGGCGGCGCUGAAGCUGUUGAAAGGGGCCACGGCAGCGCCUGCUAAUGCUACAUGAUCUAGGCUGGACUUACACCUAAAGCCCGGGCUCGCUGAAGGACACGCAUACGAGACACGGGCUUCAGCAAAUGAUUUGAGAUGAAGUAUUUUGCUCCAUGGAUCUUGUUACCUUAACUUGGA
ensembl:lncRNA